rnacentral:rRNA from 1 species
CCUACGGGAGGCAGCAGUGGGGAAUAUUGCACAAUGGGGGAAACCCUGAUGCAGCGACGCCGCGUGAGUGAAGAAGUAUUUCGGUAUGUAAAGCUCUAUCAGCAGGGAAGAAAAUGAGGGUACGUGAUUAAGAAGCGACGGUUAACUACGUGCCAGCAGCCGCGGUAAUACGUAGGGGGGAAGCGUUAUCCGGAUUUACUGGGUGUAAAGGGAGCGUAGGCGGCAGUACAAGUCUGGAGUGAAAUGCCUGGGCUUAACCCCGGUACUGCGUUGGAAACUGUGGAGCUAGAGUGCAGGAGAGGUAAGUGGAAUGCGUGGUGUAGCGGUGAAAUGCGUAGAUAUUAGGAAGAACACCAGUGGCGAAGGCAGCUUACUGGACUGUAACUGACGUUGAGGCUCGAAAGCGUGGGGAGCAAACAGGAUUAGAUACCCCUGUAGUC